ACUCUUCCUAACACUACCAACCUAUCUUGGGGAGUGCGGGAGGGUGGGGAACAUUAAAUCCUGGGCUCGGCCUCAGGCCGACAGAGCCGAAAGUGGCCUCGGGAACCUAUGCCUGUUAAAAAAAGAACUACAAGUCCCAGCAGGCUGAGCGGCUACGGCUCUCUGGACCUGCUCGGGAUUGGAGCGUAAUGCAACGUUCUAGGAAAGAGAGUAUUUCUUCUGGGUGUGGCCAACCCGGAUUUGUAGUUCCCAGGCCGGUGUUCCCGUAUGGUCUCACUCUGUCAUGCAUGAUGGACUGCAGUGGUGCAAUCAUGGCUCACUGUAGCUUCGACCACCCUGGCUCCGGUCAUCAUCCUACCUCAGCCUCCCAGGUAUGUGGGAUUACAGUGGUGUCAGUCAUCAACCUUGUGAUCACUGAGGAAAAGAUACAAUAAUCCUUGCCUAUCCGUGAGUUCUGUCUAUAUGUAUUCAACCAAGUUUAGAUUGAAAAUAUUUUGGGGAAAAAUGGAAGGGUGCACCUGUACUGAACAUGUUCCAACAUUUUCUUGUCAUUGUUACUUAAAUAAUACAGUAUAACAACUAUUUACAUAGCAUUUACACUGCUUUAGUAAUUAUAAAUAAUCUAGGGAUGAUUUAUUUAGAUAGUCUAGGAAUGAUUUAAAUAAUCGAGGAUGGUGAUAUAUGGGAGGAUGUACAUAGGUUAUACAUAAAUACUACACCAUUUUAUAUCAGGGUCUCAAACAUUCAUGUACUUUGGUAUCCAACAGGGAUUCUGGAAUCAAUCCUCCACAGAUAGCAAGGGAUAACUGUAUUAGUUUUUCUUUUCUACACUGUUUAAUGGAUGCUGCACCCUUCCUACUCUAGGACCCAACCAGGAUCCUGAGCCCUCACUUUCUCCCUGCGUUCCUCAUGAUCCAUUUGACUAUAAUGCAGAAAGUUUGUUUAGCUACUGGCUGGUAUCUGUAACUCCUAUGACAGCUCACACUCCUUGAAGAAGAAGAGAGAAAACAGAAGACUUGUCCUGUGGAUAGAUUAUUUCUUCUUCUGUUUGUUUGUUCUUUGUAUGCUCUCGACAACAUCCACAUACACAAAUGCACAUACAUAAACACAGAAACUUUUUCUUAACAUGGACAAUCUGAAAGAGAAAGCAGCACAACAACCAUUUUGGAUGAUCGAGACUAUUUUUAUAUUAUUACAGUACAAUUGCAGAAUGAAUUCAAAAGGGCAAGCCCCUAGCAAUGAUAAUGCUAAAUGGCUGGUGGAUGUAAAUAAUUAGUGGUCAAUAUAUUAUCCAUGAUAUGUGGCAAGUUUGAAAGUUGGAAAUGCAGAAUCCCUGUUCUGGUCAUAUUAUUGUACUUGGAUCUGCUGGGAACCAUUUGAUACUCUGGGAUUCUCAUUGAGAAUCCAGUGAUAGCUAAUGUUGAAUAUUGCUUGCUGCUGGGCAACAGUGACUGUCAAAACAUUCCGUCACCACUUUUUUUUUUCAGUUUAGAAAAAGGGUCUUGGAUGUUGCCUAGGCUGGCCGGAAACUCCUGAAGUCAAGUGAUUCUCCUGUCUUUGCCUUUAGUUCUGGAAGUACUGGGAGUGAACCUCUGCACCAGGAUUUCCCUCACCAUUUUCUGUAAAAUGGCUUACUACAAAGAACAUUUCUGUAGUAUAUUUUUAUGUAUGUAUGUAUUAUGUAUUUAUUUAUUUAUUUAUUUUUGAGACAGAGUCACAAUGCUGCCCAGGCCCUAGUGCAGUGGUGUGAUCUUAGCUUACUGCAACAUCUGCUUCUGUGUUCAAGAGAUUCUCCUGCCUUAGCCUGUGGAGUAGCUGGAAUUACAGGUGCACACCACCAAGCCCGGCUAAUUUUUAUCUUCUUUGGUAGAGACCGUGUACACACACACACACACACACACACACACACACACAUUUAGGUAGAUACGAGGUCUCGCUCACAGCAGCUUCAGCAAACACAGAUUUCUGGUGUUGGAGGACAGAUUUAACUACAGAAAAUUCUGUUGGGCAAUCGGAAGCCUCAAUCUAUACAGACUUUUAGGAGGAGCCUGCCUGUUUGGUUCAAAUUUAGCCAAAAUAUUUUUUUUUUACCACUGAUUCAGUAAAUCUCCUAACUUUGCAGGAACUGGGAUCCUAAAAAUUAUGGAACGAAUUGUAGAAACUCAAGCAACUUUCUCCAAAGCCUAGGGUUCAGCAAGAGUAAGCAAGAGGCACUGAGCCGCUGGAGUCUGCACAUUGAUAAAUUUACUUACAGUCGUAAAUAAAUUGCAUCAUCUUCAGCUAGUAACACAGAGUCUAAUUUUUAUAGCGGCAUACUUGCCUCCACGACUUUCCUAGACACCAGAAAGAAAGGCGAGAGCCAGCCUUAGCCUAAUCAAGAACCAUGAUCCAAAAAGGAGUGGGAGGAACCUAGCGGCCACGUGGGAAUCCCAGCCCUCCUAUUAAGCCUACCCUCUUUGCAAAUUGUGACUGUGAGCUCCUGGUUUACAGAAAUAUAUCCCAGAACUCAAGCAACAUGAGCCACUAUAAUUGUCUCUGGAAGGUGACCCAUUUGCAGAUAGGGACUUCCCUGAAGGUUGGGGCCCUCAUGAGCUAUGCUUUCCACCAAGUUGUCUCUAUAAGGACCAGUUCCAGGACCUCAGGGAGGAAAUUUCACUUUCUGCCUUGGUGGAAUGUGAAGUGAGUGGCUCCCCGGCCACACCCCACCCUCCAUAAAAUAGAAGGUAAAUCCCAACUGCCAAAAGCUUUUUGUCCUCCUCUCAGGGAUACUAAUUAAAGCAGUUGGGCUACUUUUUCAUGCAUUUCAUCUCAAGUUGUCUUUCUGCCUAUCUCCUGAGCCCAGCGAAAGAGUUCCUUAAAAUAACCCUCAAACCUCUGUAGUAAAGGACCACACAAAUAACGAAUGCCAUGAAAAAACAGGGCUAGAGGUUUCAGAGGAUGAGAAAGGAAGAGCAGCCAGAACACUGGCUGUCUAGGUAUGCUACUGGUGCCUGACUCUGCACCUGUGUGUGUCUGUGUGCUGUGUUCCAAUGGCAGAGCAUCGGGGCCACCAGAACUCUCUCAGCUACCGCACAUGGAGAGGGAGGAGUGAUAAAGAGAAAUCAAGAAACUCAGUUUCUUUGAAAUGGAAAUCAAUAAACUCAGUUUCCUCAAAGUUCAAAAUACAUGAGACUGCCUACCCUCCUUGGAAGGCAAGGUGGGGCUUUCUGAAGCAAAUACCAGCUUUAAAAAAAAAUGUAUAUAUAUAUGAAGAUAUAUACAAAAAAAAAAUUUCCCCACAACCAGACAAUCAGAAUCAUCAAACCCAGAAGGGUUAAAGAAAAAGAAAAGGCCCAGGAAAGUAUGAUUGGUGGGGAUCAAAAGUAUCUCUCCACAGUGGUAAAUGAGAAUUCUCAAAAAGAGUAAAAUUAUAAUUCUCAUGCACAUAUAAAAUAAAUAUGUAUUACAGAUUUUACUUAAACCAUAUAGCUCAAAAUUAGCUAACAAGGAAGACAUUAUAACCUGUUCAAAGAGAAGCCAAAGAAGGGAAAUUUAUAUGCUGUAAAGAAAUAUUUAAAGGAAUAUGGCAAAACUGACUCUUAAUAGGAGAUGCCCUAUGUGGUACAUAAUUUGUUUGUGUAUCUACACACAUGAAUUAUUUUGCACUUGUAUCACUAUCUACAACUUACACUGUUGUAAAGUAACUCCCACACAAUCAGAAUCAUAUAACCCAAAAAGGUAUCUUCCCUAACCAAACAAGGUUUUCCAAUAAAGCACUAUUUUGUCUCACAUUGCCAUAUUUUAAUGGCCUUUGAAAAUAUUAUUUCUAGAAAAGGGUUUGAAGGAAAUUUGGUUGGACUUGACUUUUGUACCCUUGUUAUCAUUAUCAUUAUUAUUAGUGGUAAUUGUAGUUCCCUGCUGAGACUAAGCACUCAGCUCUUGAAAUGCCAAUCUCAAGACUUUUUCUUCCAAAGCUUCCAGAAAUAAUGGAAGAAUGUGUAGGCUGCAUGCACAAUGAAAGCCAGUAAGUAGAGGAAGACUCUACAAAGUUAUGUUUGUUUCAGAAACAGUAGUAGUGACAAAAAUAUAUGAAGAUAUGCAAUAGGACUAAGUUAAAGUAACAUGCAAUUAUUUCUAAAACUCAGAAUUGUAUUUUACCCAUCUGAUUCUGCCAGGUUUUGUUUCCAUGAGACAUGCAGUCUCAUGGAGAGAUAAACGCAGUCUUGGGUUGGCUGAUGAUGUUUUGGGGACAGCCACAUUAUUUUAAUAUUAAUUUUAUUCUUAUUUAACAUAGUUUUAGUACUGCUGAUGUGGAAUAUUCUUAACAAUGUCUGUUUUUUGGGAAAUAAUAAGCUUAAAAUCUUGAUAACUGCUUCUGGGGCAGCAGUCAGGGCCUAGCUCCUCUCUGAGACUCCAGAGGUCAUGCUUAUCCAGUCAAGGCAACUUUUCAAGGCAAGUAGGAUCCAGGAUUCCUGUCAAGUAAGUGGGCUCAGUCCUGACUGACAAACAAACAAGCACAAAAACAACCCCUCCCCACAAAAAAACACACAUACAAGCUUGGGUGGAAAGCCAGUAUACAGUACCUGAGGAAAGACAAGAAGAGCAAACUGAAAAGAAACCAGAGAGGCUAAGAAAAUAGCCUAGAUAAAAGGAAAAUGGUGAUGAAGAUAUUCAAAAGUACCUCUCUGAUAGUUACACCAUCCUGCAUUCAGAGUCCAUGUUUCAUAUUAUAAUCUUCUCACUGCCUUUGUCUUUGUUUUUUUU
rnacentral:lncRNA from 1 species